rnacentral:lncRNA from 10 species
GCCCUGCCCGGGACCGGCCCGCUCGCUGCACUGGUCCUCUCCUCGGCCUCCUCUUGAGCUUUCCUCGGACAGGGGCACCGUGCGCUCCCCGGCCACCGUCGCUCUGCCCUCGGCUCUCUGGGGCCGGGGAUUCCGGAUCGGGAGCCGGGAUGCGGGCCGGGGCGCGCACAGACGCUAGGCGGCCCAGCCCGGGCGCCGCUGGCACCGGCUCGCGGCUCCCGGCAAAAACCCGUCCGACUGGCUGGGCCACUCCCGCCUGACGCCCCCCCAGAUGACACGACUAGCUCUCCCGGCGUGCUGCCUUUGCCAGUCUACCCGCCAGGUUGUCAGAACAAGCGGCACCUCGCCUCCUGCGUGUCCCUACAGAGCCCCGGCACAAUCAGACUGCCCCAAGCCAGCUCCGAAACCCGAAAUCCCCGCUCCGGCGCUUGCCCACCACGGCCAAAGUUGUGGAAACAGCUUUGACUUUAUUCUCCUCUCUCUCUCAUCUUUUUUUGCCUCGCUUACACACGCAUUCACACUUGCCCCCACAGGAUCCCUCUAGGGGUGCAAGUUCAUCCCCCACCUAGCCACCCACCCCAUCCAGUCGGCACCUAGAGCCGCACGGAGGUUCGGACCCCGCCCGCCGAGGGCGCCCACACCUGGAGCUGGGUUUCGGCCUCUGCGAAAGUGAAAUGCCCAAGCCUCCGGCCAAAGCCCAGACCAGUACAGUAUGAAUUGUCCUAUGAGACUGAGGGGUUCGGCUUCAUUCCUACCUGCCCGCAAAGCUCGCCCCCAGCCUCGAAAACAAAGCGACUGGUCUGACGUGGGGUCCCUGCGCCCCUCCUCUAGCGCGACAGGACCCCCCCAGGGAAGAGCCAGUACCCGUGGGAUGUCACCCCGUCCCCAUCUACCGGGGUGGGGGGCCUGAAAGGAGAACGAUUUAAAAUAAUCUUCAGAAAGAAAAGGGAGGAGGGAGCGGGUGACACAUCGUUCACAUAAACCCAAUUUCUGGUUUCGAGUGAAGUCAAGAUCUCCGCCCCUGCGCCUGCACACACACCUCCUGCCUAACAUUCUCAGCUGCAAAUGCCAAAAAAGAAAAAAAAAAAAAACAGCAAAAGUUGGGACUGCCACCUAUUUAUUUAGGCACAGCCAAAAUUGGUCAGAAAGGGGAGUAAAGUGGGACACGAGCUUCAAAGUAGGGAAACCAAAGAAGGGAGCAUCCACGUCCUCUCUCUGCAGCUUCUCCCCCGCGUUCUUCGGGCGAAUCCGAGGGACGGGCGCUGCGCUGGGGAAAGUUUGUCCCACCCGCGUUUCGCAGCUGGUUGCAAGGAGAGGAGGAGGAGAGGGAGGGUCAAGCUCGGAGCCUGUGACCGCACGGAUGAUCGAGCCGGCGUCGCGCUUACCUCGCAGUCCUCGUACUUGAUAUUAUCCGUCAAUUUCCAAAGCAUUUUCAUGGAUCGGCGUGAACGGAUAUGCCCCUCUCGGUCUCGCACCCAAGUGGAGCUACUCUCUGGCUCUUUACCAACAGCCUAAUCGCCUCAUUAGCAUAUCAACAAUAGUCCAAUUGCUCGCCAGUACCACAAUCUGCCGCCGGCCGCUCCGACACAGAGAUGCCUUCUGCAAAGCCCGGCACUGCUCAAGGUCCAAGCGCCACGCCUGGGGCCCAGCUUCUAGCACUUCUCCCUUAACCCUGCUACCACGAUCCGAGCUGCCCUUUUGGCCCCGUGCAAUUUUAUUAGAAAUCAUUAUCCCUUUCGCAAUUAAACAUAACCACCAAACCAAGACCGGCGAAGUCACUCCAGGAUUUUUUCCCAACAAGGGAUCGCCUCCGCUCGAGGCAGCCACCCCCUCGGGCCGCAGCGCCUUGGGAGUUUUAUUGGCUUUGAGCUUUCCCCCAGGUUGGAGAUUCUGCCAAGCGGCUCCGGUGGCUCUGCUGGGGUUUGCAAUCCCUUAAUUGCAGCGUGUAAAAUAAAAGUUGUACCCUGAAGAGGUUACUUGACAGCUCCAGGGGUUAAACAAUUUUUCUCCUGUUUGUGUGAAGCUAGGGCCAACUGACAGUUCAAAUUGGUGUUCAGGCUAAGGUUUCCUGGGUGCAACGUGGACACGAAUACAGAACUCCUAUGGAACUGCACACCCGCUUCUGAAGUUGAGCCUAAAAACAGACGUGUGUGUGCCUGCAAGUCUAGAUACCGUCUCGUGCGUGCAUCAAAAUAAAUCACCGGGAACCGACUUUUAGCUGUGUUAAUCUGCUCUAGUUUUCCCAAGAUUCCCCUUUUUAAUUAAAGCAGGGAGAGUUCCUUCAUGAUUUGGUGAUGCUACUAACGCGGGCGUGCUCGCGAGGCAGAGCCCGGCUGCCGCGGAACCUGGAGGCCUGGGAGCCACCUACUCGUCCAGACUGGUCAGUCCGGGCUUUUGGACUCCUCACCGGGGCCUGCUGGGUCCUCUGGGGCUUUUAUCCCUUUCGGUUUUGGGAUUUUUUUUUAAGUAAGAAAAAAAAAAAAGAAAAGGACCUAAUGUGACACUAGGAAAUACAGAGUAAUUAAUUUUCCUGGCUGAGCUUCCUCGUUUGUCCUCCAAAAGAAAGUUACCUCUGUCUUUUCUCUCUGCUAUAUGUACAAACUCCUUAACUACACUAGGUCCCGCCUCAGAGUUGCUCUAGUAAGGACCUUUGAUUCAUCUGGGCUUGUUUCUCGAAAAUCUCCAGGCCUCCCAUAUUUCCACCGGG